CUACUUACCUGGCAAGGGAGAUACCGUGAUCAAGAAGGAGGUUCACCCAGGGCGAGGCUCAGCCAUUGCACUCUGGCUGUACUGACCCCUCCAAAGUUCCUAAAUGUGGAAAUCUCUGGGAUUGGGAAGGUUGUGGGAAAAGGGAUGGCAGGGACCUUUG
rfam:Salmo salar isolate Sally breed double haploid chromosome ssa25, whole genome shotgun sequence.